rnacentral:tRNA from 1 species
CACCAAGAAGCUUUUACAGCACUAGCCUUUUAAGUUAGAGAGGGAGACUCGAGCGCUCCCUUGGUGA